rnacentral:rRNA from 1 species
GACGAACGCUGGCGGCGUGCUUAACACAUGCAAGUCGAGCGCGUGCAGCAAUGCACGAGCGGCGCACGGGUGAGUAACGCGUGGGAAUCUGCCCUAUGGUGGGGGACAACCGCGGGAAACUGAGGCUAAUACCGCAUACGUCCUUCGGGAGAAAGACUUCGGUAGCCAUAGGAGGAGCCCGCGUCCGAUUAGCUAGUUGGUGAGGUAACGGCUCACCAAGGCGACGAUCGGUAGCUGGUCUGAGCGGACGGCCAGCCACACUGGGACUGAGACACGGCCCAGACUCCUACGGGAGGCAGCAGUGGGGAAUUUUGGACAAUGGGCGCAAGCCUGAUCCAGCAAUGCCGCGUGCAGGAAGAAGGCCUUCGGGUUGUAAACUGCUUUUGUACGGAACGAAACGGUCCUGGUUAAUACCUGGGGCUAAUGACGGUACCGUAAGAAUAAGCACCGGCUAACUACGUGCCAGCCGCCGCCGUAACAC